rnacentral:rRNA from 1 species
UGGGGGAUAUUGCACAAUGGGCGAAAGCCUGAUGCAGCGACGCCGCGUGGGGGAUGAAGGCUUUCGGGUUGUAAACCUCUUUCGCUAUCGAACAAGGCCCGCUUAGGGUGGGUUGAGGGUAGGUGGAGAAGAAGCGCCGGCUAACUACGUGCCAGCAGCCGCGGUAAUACGUAGGGCGCGAGCGUUGUCCGGAAUUAUUGGGCGUAAAGGGCUUGUAGGCGGCUUGUUGCGCCUGCUGUGAAAACGCGGGGCUUAACUUCGCGCGUGCAGUGGGUACGGGCAGGCUUGAGUGUGGUAGGGGUGACUGGAGUUCCAGGUGUAGCGGUGGAAUGCGCAGAUAUCUGGAGGAACACCGAUGGCGAAGGCAGGUCACUGGACCAUUACUGAAGCUGAGGAGCGAAAGCAUGGGUAGCGAACAGG